GUGCUCCUUUUGGCAGCACAUUUUAGGCUAAAAUCCAAGUGAUCCAGAGAGUAUUAGCACGGCCCCUACAAGAGGAUGACACACAAAUUUGGGAAGUAAAAACUCACCAC